CGGAGGGUGCAAGCGUUAUCCGGAUUUACUGGGUUUAAAGGGUAGCGUAGGUGGGUCGUGUAAGUCAGUGGUGAAAUCUCCGGGCGUUAACCCGGAAACUUGCCAUUGAUACUAUAGGUCUUGAAUCAUCUGGAGGUAAGCGGAAUAAUGUCAUGUAGCGGUGAAAUGCUUAGAUAUGACAUAGUACACCAAUUGCGAAGGCAGCUUACUACGGAUGUAUUGACACUGAGGCACGAAAGCGUGGGGAUCAAACAGGAUU
rnacentral:rRNA from 1 species